CACGCCGUAAACGAUGGGUACUAGGUGUAGGAGGUAUCGACCCCUUCUGUGCCGUCGUUAACACAAUAAGUACCCCGCCUGGGGAGUACGGUCGCAAGACUAAAACUCAAAGGAAUUGACGGGGGCCCGCACAAGCAGCGGAGCAUGUGGUUUAAUUCGAAGCAACGCGAAGAACCUUACCAAGGCUUGACAUUGAGUGAAAGGCUAAGAGAUUAGCCCCUCUCUUCGGAGACACGAAAACAGGUGG
rnacentral:rRNA from 1 species